UGACCUUGGUGAUGAUGACGACAAAUGUCUUCCUCCAGAAACAACGAUGUGGGGGUUUUUUUUCAGUCACUACCUCAUCUGAACGGUCC